UGAUCAUCCUGGGAUGAUUCAGGUCUUUUUGGGUCCAAGUGGCGGGCAUGAUACGGAUGGAAAAGAGUUAUCACGUUUGGUUUAUGUCUCUAGAGAAAAAAGGCCUGGGUUCAAUCACCACAAGAAGGCAGGUGCCAUGAAUGCCUUGGUUAGAGUCUCUUCUGUACUUACAAAUGCACCUUAUAUGUUGAAUUUGGAUUGCGAUCAUUACAUCAACAACAGUAAGGCACUUAGAGAGGCAAUGUGUUUCAUGAUGGAUCCACUAGUAGGGAAGAAAGUGUGCUACGUCCAGUUUCCUCAGAGAUUUGAUGGUAUUGAUCGACAUGAUAGAUAUGCCAAUCGAAACACUGUGUUCUUUGAUAUCAACAUGAA
rnacentral:misc_RNA from 1 species